AUUGAACGCUGGCGGCAUGCCUUACACAUGCAAGUCGAACGGUAACAGGUCUUCGGAUGCUGACGAGUGGCGAACGGGUGAGUAAUACAUCGGAACGUGCCUAGUAGUGGGGGAUAACUACUCGAAAGAGUGGCUAAUACCGCAUGAGAUCUACGGAUGAAAGCAGGGGAUCGCAAGACCUUGUGCUACUAGAGCGGCCGAUGGCAGAUUAGGUAGUUGGUGGGAUAAAAGCUUACCAAGCCGACGAUCUGUAGCUGGUCUGAGAGGACGAUCAGCCACACUGGGACUGAGACACGGCCCAGAAUCCUACGGGAGGCGGCAGUGGGGAAUUUUGGACAAUGGGCGAAAGCCUGAUCCAGCAAUGCCGCGUGCAGGAUGAAGGCCUUCGGGUUGUAAACUGCUUUUGUACGGAACGAAAAGCCCUGGGUUAAUACCCUGGGGUCAUGACGGUACCGUAAGAAUAAGCACCGGCUAACUACGUGCCAGCAGCCGCCGUAACAC
rnacentral:rRNA from 1 species